GAUGAACGCUAGCGGCAGGCUUAACACAUGCAAGUCGAGGGGCAGCACGUCUUCGGAUGGUGGCGACCGGCGCACGGGUGCGUAACGCGUAUACAACCUACCUUAUAGAGGGGAAUAGCCCAGAGAAAUUUGGAUUAAUGCCCCAUAGUAUUAUUGAAUAGCAUUAUUUGAUGAUUAAACAUUUAUGGCUAUAAGAUGGGUAUGCGUUCUAUUAGCUAGAUGGUAAGGUAACGGCUUACCAUGGCGACGAUAGAUAGGGGUCCUGAGAGGGAGAUCCCCCACACUGGUACUGAGACACGGACCAGACUCCUACGGGAGGCAGCAGAGAGGAAUAUUGGACAAUGGGCGAGAGCCUGAUCCAGCCAUGCCGCGUGCAGGAAGACGGCCCUAUGGGUUGUAAACUGCUUUUAUACGGGAAGAAACACUCCUUCGUGAAGGAGCUUGACGGUACCGUAAGAAUAAGGAUCGGCUAACUCCGUGCCAGCAGCCGUAC
rnacentral:rRNA from 1 species